rnacentral:rRNA from 1 species
CCUACGGGAGGCAGCAGUGAGGAAUAUUGGUCAAUGGACGGAAGUCUGAACCAGCCAUGCCGCGUGCAGGAAGACGGCCCUAUGAGUUGUAAACUGCUUUUGUACAAGGGUAAACCUGAAUACGUGUAUUCAGCUGAAUGUACUGUACGAAUAUGGAUAGGCUAACUCAGUGCCAGCAGCCGCGGUAAUACGGAGGAUCCAAGCGUUAUCCGGAUUUGUUGGGUUUAAAGGGUGCGUAGGCGGAUUGAUAAGUUAGAGGUGAAAUGUCCGAGCUUAACUCGGGAACUGCCUCUAAUACUGUUGAUCUAGAGAGUAGAUGCGGUAGGCGGAAUGUAUGGGGUAGCGGUGAAAUGCUUAGAGAUCAUACAGAACACCGAUUGCGAGGGCAGCUUACCAAUCUAUAUCUGACGUUGAGGCACGAAAGCGUGGGGAGCAAACAGGAUUAGAUACCCGAGUAGUC